rnacentral:rRNA from 1 species
AGUUCGAUCAUGGCCUGUGAUUGAACGCUGGUGCGGGAUGCUUUACACAUGCAAGUCGAACGGCACGGACUUCGGCCCGGUGGCGAAAGUGGCGAAUUGGUGAGAGUAAUGUAUCGGAACGCGCUAUAGUAGCGGGGAUAACUACGCGAAAGCGGCACACCGCAUACGCCCUUCGGGGAAAGCGGGGGACCUUCGGGCCUUCGCACUGUUUAGGAGCAGCCGAUAUCGGAUUAGCUAUUAGUGGUGCGCAAUGGCUCACCAAGGUGACGAUCCGUAGCUGGUUUGAGAGGACGACCAGCCACACUGGGACUGAGACACGGCCCAGACUCCUACGGAGGCAGCAGGAAUUUUGGACAAUGGGGAAACCCUGAUCCAGCCAUCCCGCGUGUGCGCGAAGGCCUUCGCUUGUAAAGCACUUUUUGGCAGGAAAGAAACGGCACGGGAUACUACCCGUGCAACUGACGGUACCUGCAGAAUAAGCACCGGCCAACUACGUUGCAGCCGCGGUAAUACGUAGGGUGCAAGCGUUAAUCGGAAUUACUGGGCGCAAAGCGGUGCGCAGGCGGUUCGGAAAAGAAAGAUGAAAUCCCAGAGCUUAACUUUGGAACUGCAUUUUUAACUACCGAGCUAGAGCGUGUGUCAGAGGGAGGGAAUUCCGCGGUAGUAGCAGUGAAAUGCGUAGAUAUGCGGAGGAACAUCGAUGGCGAAGGCAGCCUCCCUGGGAUAACACUGACGCUCAUGUACGAAAGCGUGGGGAGCAAACAGGAUUAGAUACCCUGGUAGUCCACGCCCUAAACGAUACCAGUUGUUGGGGCCUCUUCGGGUUUUGUAGCGCAGUUGACUGCGAGAAGCUGGACUGCCUGGGGAGUACGGUCGCAAGAUUAAAACUCAAAGGAAUUGACGGGGACCCGCACAAGCGGUGGAUGAUGGGAUUAAUUUGAUGCAACGCGAAAAACCUUACCUACCCUUUGACAUGUCUGGAAUCCCGAAGAGAUUUGGGAGUGCUCGCAAGAGAACCGGAACACAGGUGCUACAUUGUCGUCAGCUUCCGUCGAGAUGUUGGGUUAAGUCCGCAACGAGCGCAACCCUUGUCAUUAGUUGCUACGAAAGGGCACUCGCAUCGAGACUGCCGGUGACAAACCGGAGAAGGUGGGGAUGACGUCAAGUCCUCAUGGCCCUUAUGGGUAGGGCUUCUCACACGUCAUACAAUGGUCGGACAGAGGGUCGCCAACCUGCGAGGGGGAGCUUCAACCUAGAAACCGAUCGUAGUCCGGAUCGCAGUCUGCAAACUCGACUGCAGUGUUUGAAUCGCUAGUAAUCGCGGAUCAGCAUGUCGCGGUGAAUACGUUCCCGGGUCUUGUACACACCGCCCGUCACACCAUGGGGAGGGGUUUUACCAGAAGUAGUUAGCCUAACCGUAAGGAGGGCGAUUACCAUUGUAGGAUUCUAUGACUGGGUGAAGUCGUAACAAGGUAG